AUGAACGCUGGCGGCGUGCUUAACCCAUGCAAGUCGAACGGAAAGGCCGAAGCUUGCUUCGGUACUCGAGUGGCGAACGGGUGAGUAACACGUGGGUGAUCUGCCCUGUACUUCGGGAUAAGCUUGGGAAACUGGGUCUAAUACCGGAUAUGACAAUCUCUUGGAUGGGGUUGUGGAAAGCUUUUGCGGUAUGGGAUGAGCUCGCGGCCUAUCAGCUUGUUGGUGGGGUAAUGGCCUACCAAGGCGUCGACGGGUAGCCGGCCUGAGAGGGUGUACGGCCACAUUGGGACUGAGAUACGGCCCAGACUCCUACGGGAGGCAGCAGUGGGGAAUAUUGCACAAUGGGCGCAAGCCUGAUGCAGCGACGCCGCGUGGGGGAUGACGGCCUUCGGGUUGUAAACUCCUUUCGCAACCGACGAAGCUUUUGUGACGGUAGGUUGAGAAGAAGCACCGGCUAACUACGUG
rnacentral:rRNA from 1 species